rnacentral:rRNA from 1 species
CCUACGGGAGGCAGCAGUGGGGAAUUUUGGACAAUGGGGGCAACCCUGAUCCAGCCAUGCCGCGUGAGUGAAGAAGGCCUUCGGGUUGUAAAGCUCUUUCGGCCGGAACGAAAUCGCGCACGUGAAUAACGUGCGUGGAUGACGGUACCGGAGUAAGAAGCACCGGCUAACUACGUGCCAGCAGCCGCGGUAAUACGUAGGGUGCGAGCGUUAAUCGGAAUUACUGGGCGUAAAGCGUGCGCAGGCGGUUCGCUAAGUCAGACGUGAAAGCCCCGGGCUUAACCUGGGAACGGCGUUUGAAACUGGCGGGCUCGAGUACGGCAGAGGGGGGUGGAAUUCCACGUGUAGCAGUGAAAUGCGUAGAUAUGUGGAGGAACACCGAUGGCGAAGGCAGCCCCCUGGGCCGAUACUGACGCUCAUGCACGAAAGCGUGGGGAGCAAACAGGAUUAGAUACCCUGGUAGUCCACGCCCUAAACUAUGUCAACUAGUUGUACGGGGAAGCAAUUCCUUAGGUAACGCAGCUAACGCGUGAAGUUCGACCGCCGUGGGGAGGUACGGUCGCGAGAAGUUAAAACGUUAAAGGUAAAGUUAGUACGGUUCGUUGUAGAGUUGCCGACGGACGACGACGAGGGAGGAGG